rnacentral:misc_RNA from 1 species
UGGCACUGCGUGUACUAACAUUAUGUCAUACCGUAUAUUCUGAUAUGCUAUGACAGCGUCUUUUGCCGCUUGAGCCUUUUAGCCCCUCUGAUCACAAGAAGUAUCUUUCAUAUGAAAUAAAGAUUUCCUGAUACGCUGAAAAGCCUCCCAAAGCAGAAUGAACCUCGGUAAUGACAUAAUGUUAGUACACGCAGUGCCAAUGAAAGAAAAAGUGUCUGGCUUCAAGCAAAGAGAACAAGCCCUCUACCUGUAUCUGAUUUGAAAGCUUUCCUUUGUCAAAUGAAAUCUGUCAGACAUUACAUAUCCAAUAGAUUCCAGAUUCUAUGUUGGCGUAGAGAAGCUGACCCGGAACCCUGACUUCCCAUGGUCAUAAUCAAA